GACGAACCGUGCGAACGUUGUUCGGAAUCACUGGGCUUAAAGGGCGCGUAGGCGGUCUGCCAAGUCCGGGGUGAAAUCCUCCAGCUUAACUGGAGAAGUGCCCUGGAUACUGGCGGACUCGAGCGAGGCAGGGGUAGUGGGAACUUCCGGUGGAGCGGUGAAAUGCGUUGAUAUCGGAAGGAACGCCGGUGGCGAAAGCGCACUACUGGUCCUCUUCUGACGCUGAGGCGCGAAAGCCAGGGGAGCAAAC
rnacentral:rRNA from 1 species